CCUAAUCUCUCCGGGUUUUCCCCAGAACAGCAACAAAGGUAUAAUUAUUCGGUCAUAAUUCCACACUACAGCACCGGCCACAAAGGACAUACACACGUGGAAAUAUAGGGCUUAAACUGUCUACCCUCAAUUACAAAAUCAUUUAGUUCCCUUGUCCCAUGUUAGAUAAAAGUCGAAUUACAGCUAAAAGCUGUUUGAACCCACGAACCAAUAUUUUCAGACCACCAAUUUUCACAUUUUGGGCAACUGCGUUGCUUACAUGAAUAAAUGAUAUUCAAAUUCCUUAUUCUUUUUUGCAAAUAAGACUGAAAGUUCGCUCUAUUUUGUACCUGUCAAACUGUUUGAGGCGUUAACAAACUUAAAGCAUUUUGUUUUCCCCACAUAUAGUCGAGUUUGUUGUAACUUUUACCUUGUGGAAUUUCUUAUUUGUUUUUGGGGCGCUCUAAGUUUGGUGAAAGCGACAGCAUUUUUACAACACGCAUUAAAAAUCCAGUGCAAAGGUUCUAUUCCGUAACCGAUUUAAUUUGCCUGAUCUGUAUAACAGAAGUUACAAUCGGCUUAUAGUUUUCAAGAGAAAAGAGAUUUAACCAGUUACAGAAAUUUGAACCACAACAUUAUAAUUGAAUGCUUGUUCUGCACGAACAAAUUAAAUUGACAAAGACACUUUACUUAUUUGACGGUGAUUCUGAUUCACUUGUGUAAAAGUUAAAAAAAUAUUUUUUUCUUCGUCUGUGCUUUUUCAAGUUUUAAUUUUUGUUUGAAGUUUACUUUAUUCGAUGCACCGCUUCAAGACUACUGAUUGCGAAGAACUAUAGUGACUUAUUGAAAAUUGAAAGCUGAAAUUGUUGGUGUUUGAAACGAAACAAGUGCGUUUUGAAAUUACGUCAGCUUACAACAUCGAGGUCAAAUCGUGAAAAAACGUGCAAGAAGUGUGAAGAUCAAGCGUGAAAACUAUGGCUGAUCACGAGAACCAUCAUGGCCGCACAAACCAUCAUGACCACCACCAUCACCACCACCCACACGGCCAUCGCAAAAAAGACCCGCACGAGGAAAUAAUUGACGAGCUCUGGUCGACCUACGACAAAGACCACAACAGUCGAAUCGACCGGAAAGAGUACGACCAAUUCAUGAAGGAUAUCUGCGGGAUGGUCGGUCGCAAACUAACGCCUGCAUGCUACGACAAAUUGUUCAAAAAAGCCGACUCUGAUCAUAGUGGAUAUUUGAGCAAGACACAGUUUGCUAAAUUGAUCAAAGAAAAUAUAGUUUAAAAACAGUCUCAUUUUCUAGAGAAUUAUAUGUAAAAAUAUCUUCUUUCAUUUAAAAACAGAAAAUCAAAAAGUUAUUCCAAACAAAUAUUGAAACAAUCAAGACUUCAAAAUGCGUUGAUUUUCUCUGAUAACGAUUAAUAAUUAAUUUAAAUUUGAAAUUAAGACUUUUCAGCUUAGCCUAACAAGUAUUUUUCUACGGGUCGAAUGAUCUAUCAAGUAUGCACCGCACAUGAAAUUUAUGAUUAUUUGUUGAA